rnacentral:rRNA from 1 species
AGAUACCCUGGUAGUCCCACGCCGUAAACGAUGAGUACUAGGUGUCGGGGGUCGAAUCUCGGUGCCGCAGUCAACACAUUAAGUAUUCCGCCUGGGGAGUACGGUCGCAAGACUGAAACUCAAAGGAAUUGACGGGGACCCGCACAAGCAGCGGAGCAUGUGGUUUAAUUCGAAGCAACGCGAAGAACCUUACCAAAUCUUGACAUCCUUUUGACCAUCAUUUAAUCAUGAUCUCUCUUCGGAGCAGAAGUGACAGGUGGUGCAUGGUUGUCGUCAGCUCGUGUCGUGAGAUGUUGGGUUAAGUCCCGCAACGAGCGCAACCCUUGUCUUUAGUUGUCAUCAGGUAAUGCUGGACCCUCUAAAGAGACUGCCGGUGAUAAACCGGAGGAAGGUGGGGAUGACGUCAAAUCAUCAUGCCCCUUAUGAUUUGGGCUACACACGUGCUACAAUGGUCGGUACAACAGGCAGCGAAAGGGUAACCUGGAGCGAAUCCUCUAAAGCCGAUCUCAGUUCGGAUUGUGGGCUGCAACUUGCCCACAUGAAGUUGGAGUUGCUAGUAAUCGUGAAUCAGAAUGUCGCGGUGAAUGCAUUCCCGGGUCUUGUACACACCGCCCGUCACACCAUGGAAGUUGGGGGCGCCCGAAGCCAGUGAUCCAACCGCAAGGAGGAAGCUGUCGAAGGUGAAACCAAUGACUAGGGUGAAGUCGUAACAAGGUAACCG